AUGCUGGCCAGGACGCACCCCAGAGCACAGGGAGGGGGAAUUGAACCCUUUCCUGGGUAUCAUGUGGGAAACAAGCUUAUCAUUUACUUAUUCACAGGCUUUGAUGAUAAUCACACCUGCACACCUCCGCAGGGCCGAGGCGGCACAGCACCCAGGCAAAGAAGAUGUGCGAGUCAGCAUAUGGACUUAAAGGAGGCUGAAAGAGCGGGGAAACGGCAAGCCCAUGCAGCCUUGGACUGUUUUACUCUGAACAGGAAGAACCUGAUAAGGAAAGAAACGUGGAAGAGAAUGCCCAGAUUCCAGUGAAACUAGGGCCCGACCUUUACCAGCUCAUGGACUCUCCCCUUCCUCAGUCUCUAUUCCAGGGUAAGCCCAUGGCUGCAGAGGGCGACGACUGGCCCUCCGCACCAGAGGGGAAAAUGUCUUCCUCUUCACUGCCUCCCCUAAUAUUCCUCCCUCUGCCUCCCUUGUCUCCUUUCCUCUCUGCUCCCACCUUGGAGGGCAGCAGUCCUGUUGACCAGGAUCUGAGUCCCAGCGCUGCCAUUUACUGCACAAUCCCAGAACAAGUCAUCUAACUUCUCCGAGCCUCAACUGGAUAGCUAUAAAAUGGGGGACAUUUUUCAAAAGACUGCAGUGAUGCUUAAAUGGGAUAAAGUAUAUUAGUAUUUUAGUGCCUUGUGUUCAGUGAGUGCCCAUGUAGCUAACAGGCUCUGAACCCAGGUUAUCCAUGUUAUCUCUAUUUAAUCCUUGAAAUGAGCUUACACAGGAACAGGGAAGGUGACAGGGCAGACUUGCGUCAGGCUAUCUGGUUUCAAACCUCAGUUCUGUAUCUUUCACAUAGUUCUUUCUUUGUGACUGCGGUGUGUCCCUUUUUAAAAGGUGCCUUCCUCAUAACCCCACAUAAUGAUUUCAGUUUACAUUAUUAAAGUGGCCAGCUGGGAAAUAUAGUUUUUUAAGUAAGUACACUUCAGUCUCCAGCAAAAUAAGAUGUUAAAGAUGGAUACCGGUUAGGCAACCAGAGUCUCAUUUUCAACAGUUUUAUCUUGCUCUUGAUUUAACCUUUAAUUUUCAAAGGCCCAUCCAGAGGAGGAAAUGUGGAGAAAACAAGUAAGAACUGUUAGCAGAGAUAAGCUCUGAAAAUGUGGAUGACAUGUCUAAAUUGUGUUCAGUGAUGUUUUGUUCCUUUUUUCUCUUAACCUUUCAGUUUCUUUAGGAAAAUGAGUUUAUGAGUUUUCUAUAUCCAUUUAACAUGAGAGACCAAUACAUUCAGAAAAUAUGGUUGAAAAAAACCAUAUUGCAUAACCUU
rnacentral:lncRNA from 1 species